UCCACUGCGGCUGCGCGGCUAGCUGGAAAGCGUGCGGCUUCUACUGCGGUUGCGCAAACUGGGCUCGCGCUCGCACGUCCCUUAGGUGCCACUCCUCCCUCCAGUCUAGUUUCCUCGGGUCGUGUGUGCAGCCUACGGUUUCUGGACUUCUCAUUCAGACAGGGUCCAGUCAGGAAAGCAAACUGCCCUCAAGUGCUUUUGAGCAGAGGUAGUAUGGAGAACUGGGUGCUUACAAGGCCAGUGACAGGACCCGGAAGAAGAAAUGUGGGAAGCGACCGACCUCCACCUGUCAAGGUUUGCCCCUGACUUUCAGGGUGUCGAGAAGGUGCCAAAACCACAGGACGUCUC